rnacentral:rRNA from 1 species
GUAGGUGGCAAGCGUUGUCCGGAAUUAUUGGGCGUAAAGCGCGCGCAGGCGGUUCUUUAAGUCUGAUGUGAAAGCCCACGGCUCAACCGUGGAGGGUCAUUGGAAACUGGAGAACUUGAGUACAGAAGAGGAAAGCGGAAUUCCACGUGUAGCGGUGAAAUGCGUAGAGAUGUGGAGGAACACCAGUGGCGAAGGCGGCUUUCUGGUCUGUAACUGACGCUGAGGCGCGAAAGCGUGGGGAGCAAACAGGGAUUAGAUACCCUGGUAGUCCACGCCGUAAACGAUGAGUGCUAAGUGUUAGGGGGUUUUCCGCCCCCCUUAGUGCUGCAGCUAACGCAUUAAGCACUCCGCCUGGGAGUACGGCCGCAAGGCUG